UACGUAGGGUGCAAGCGUUAAUCGGAAUUACUGGGCGUAAAGCGUGCGCAGGCGGUUAUGUAAGACAGAUGGGAAAUGCCCGGGCUUAACCUGGGAACUGCAUUUGUGACUGCAUGGCUAGAGUUUGGCAGAGGGGGGUAGAAUUCCACGUGUAGCAGUGAAAUGCGUAGAUAUGUGGAGGAACACCGAUGGCGAAGGCAGCCCCCUGGGUCAAGACUGACGCUCAUGCCCGAAAGCGUGGGGAGCAAACAGG
rnacentral:rRNA from 1 species